rnacentral:lncRNA from 1 species
GUCUGCCAACUAAAAAUCAUUAUGUUUUAUGCUUAUUGUUGAUAAUUUAGUUCAUUUUCUAACAAAUUCUUUAACCAUCAAUUGCGCAUUUCAACAAGUAAUGUACAUUUCAUCGUGUUGCUUAUUUCUCCGCCUGCAUGAUAUGAGGCCUUUUUAUAAAAGGGGGAAGUUUCCAAUAAUUAAAUCAAAUGAUAAAAUUAACACAUUAAACAACAAUUGAAAAUGUUUUUUU